rnacentral:misc_RNA from 1 species
GAUGAAGAACGUAGCGAAAUGCGAUAAGUAAUGUGAAUUGCAGAAUUCCGUGAAUCAUCGAGUCUUUGAACGCACAUUGCGCCCCCUGGUAUUCCGGGGGGCAUGCCUGUCCGAGCGUCAUUGCUGCCCUCAAGCACGGCUUGUGUGUUGGGCCUCCGUCCUCCUCCCGGGGGACGGGCCCGAAAGGCAGCGGCGGCACCGCGUCCGGUCCUCGAGCGUAUGGGGCUUCGUCACCCGCUCUUGUAGGCCCGGCCGGCGCUUGCCGACACAUCAAUCUUUUUUCCAGGUUGACCUCGGAUCAGGUAGGGAUACCCGCUGAACUUAAGCAUAUCAAUAAGCGGAGGA